rnacentral:rRNA from 1 species
GGCCCUUUCGGGGGUACUCGAGCGGCGAACGGGUGAGUAACACGUGAGUAAUCUGCCCUUGGCUUUGGGAUAACCACCGGAAACGGUGGCUAAUACCGGAUAUGACGGGCUCCGGCAUCGGGGUUCGUGGAAAGUUUUUUCGGCCAGGGAUGUGCUCGCGGCCUAUCAGCUUGUUGGUGGGGUAAUGGCCUACCAAGGCUUCGACGGGUAGCCGGCCUGAGAGGGUGACCGGCCACACUGGGACUGAGACACGGCCCAGACUCCUACGGGAGGCAGCAGUGGGGAAUAUUGGACAAUGGGCGGAAGCCUGAUCCAGCAACGCCGCGUGAGGGAUGACGGCCUUCGGGUUGUAAACCUCUUUCAGUACCGACGAAGCGCCGAUGAUGGUGGUGACGGUAGGUACAGAAGAAGCACCGGCCAACUACGUG